rnacentral:misc_RNA from 1 species
AAGUCGUAACAAGGUUUCCGUAGGUGAACCUGCGGAGGGAUCAUUACAAAUAAAGCUGGUAGGAAGUGGGUCGUUGAUCUGUAAGUGGAUAGGAGCGCAAACAGUCCGGCUGCCUCCCGAAAUGUCUUACAUGUCCCCACAGCCACUGAAGGCCGAAUUACAACCCUUGAUUAUCUACACUUGUUGCUUUGGGGUGCUCAAGUGCCCCAGAGGACCCAACUCUCUUGCACUUAGUGACGUCUGAGUACUAUAUAAUAUUUAAAA